rnacentral:rRNA from 1 species
GUUAGGAAUAUUGGACAAUGGGCGCAAGCCUGAUCCAGCCAUGCCGCGUGAGUGAUGAAGGCCUUCGGGUUGUAAAGCUCUUUAGCCGAUGAUUAUAAUGACUGUAGUCGGAAAAUAAGCCCCGGCUAACUCCGUGCCAGCAGCCGCGGUAAUACGGAGGGGGCGAGCGUUGUUCGGAAUCACUGGGCGUAAAGCGUGCGUAGGCGGUUAUACAAGUCAGGAGUGAAAUCCCAGGGCUCAACCUUGGAAUUGCUUUUGAGACUGUAUGACUAGAGACCUAGAGAGGUUGGGGGAAUUCCCAGUGUAGCAGUGAAAUGCGCAGAUAUUGGGAGGAACACCAGUGGCGUAAGCGGCUAUCUGGACGAGUAUUGACGCUGAGGCACGAAAGCGUGGGGAUCAAACAGGAUUAGAUACCCCGGUAGUCC